UCUGUCUCUCGUUGUUUGGUUUUUCUUAGUUCCGACGAAUAUCCGAAUCAAAGAAUAAAAUUCGAAUCUUCUACAAUUUUCUAAUCCAGAGAGAGAAACAGACAUGAAUGACUAUUGGAUAACGCUCUCUUUCAUUCCCAUCGCGUUCAAACAGUCACAAAUCCCAUCCAUUUUGAUUCUAUGUUCUUCAUCUUCUUCCUUUCAUCACUACAAGUAGUACUACUUCUGAAAUUCUACAUGCUAAUUUCUCAUUCGAUCGAUCGUGUCGUAGAACACAAUUCCCAAAUUGUGAUGGAUAAUAAUUUCCCUCCGCUGCAAUCCCAUGUCGUCAUUGCAUUUGAUGCCACCAAGGAACUCAAAGAACAUGAGCUUCAGCUGGCAGUCACCAACAUACGGCUGAGGGGAGGUAUUCUCAGCAGCGGCAACACGCUUCUCUUGCUUGGUGUCUUGCACACGGUCCUUCACCCCAUGGGAUACCUGACUAGAGUAUGCACUGAUUCUAUGUUCGGGACCAGCGCUCGUGCAAUGGAAGAAGAAGUCUCAAAGAAAGUCGAUUCUUAUGUAAACAUGCUCCAGCAAAAUGCUGAACAAUGCAAAGAUGAAGGGGUUGACAUCAAAGUCAAAAUUACUGCUGGAAUUCCAAUCAAGCAAGUUAUUUGGCAAGAGGUUAUUUCUUGUAGAGCAACUUGGCUUAUACUUGAAAGGCACCUCAGAAAGGAUUUGAGGUUCUACGAGAGACAUAUACCUUGCAAGGUUGGGAUAAUUCUAGAUAGCUUAUCUUUGCAAGUGCGGAGGCGUAAUACCAUAAUUGCAAAUGACAUAGAUGUUUCAGAACAGAAGUUGUUUUAUUCUCUAUCAAAAUCAGUUGAACCUAUCUCUGUCUUGAUCGAGCCAGAUAAUUUAAAUUUUGAGCAGUCUGUUAUUUCUUGUGGAAGUUCUUGUACAUCUUUCAGUUCCCAAGAGGGUAUUGACGUCCUUAGACGGAACUCGUCUUCUUCUUCUUCUUCGAGAAAUAGGCAACAGCAAGAUCUCAACUUUUCCUCGAAUGGGAAAUCUUUGCAAGCGGAACCAAGAAAUCCAUCUGAUUCUCAGAGUUUUAGGAGCCAACACAGCAGCAUUUUUGAGAACGAGUCUUCAGAAAAGCCAGUUCUUUGCGCUGGCUGUGGGCUAAGGACUGUACUAUAUAUCAAGGAUUCGAUUAGAUUCAGAUUUUCAGAUAUUCAAGCUGCAACAUCUGACUUCUCAAAAGAGAACUUGUUGGGAGAAGGUGGAUUUGGUCAUGUCUUUAAAGGUCGACUUAAAGAUGGGCAGAUUAUUGCGGCGAAGCUACGGAAAGAAGCAAGUUUGCAAGGCUUUACUGAAUUCCAUUCAGAAAUAUUCGUCUUGAGCUUUGCAAGACACAAGAAUAUUGUGAUGCUGUUGGGUUAUUGUUCCAGAGAGAAUUAUAACAUUUUGGUGUAUGAGUAUAUCUGCAACAAAUCCCUGGAGUGGCAUUUAUUGAAUAAAUCAGCCCCUACACUUGAGUGGCACCAGAGACAUGCUAUUGCAAUCGGAACAGCCAAAGGAUUGCGUUUUCUACAUGAAGAAUGCCGUGGAGGUCCAGUAAUUCAUCGAGACUUGCGGCCUAGCAACAUACUACUCACUCAUGACUUUGUUCCCAUGAUUGGUGACUUUGGCCUCGCGAAAUGGAAGACAAAUGAGGCUCCUAUUCAGACAAGGGUGCUUGGUACAUUAGGAUACCUUGCACCUGAGUAUGCAGAGAAUGGCAUAGUUUCUGUUAGGACAGAUGUUUAUUCAUUUGGAAUUGUUCUGUUACAACUGAUAUCAGGACGCAAUGUGAUCAAUGAAAAUCAAGAAGAGCAAAGCCAGUCUCUACUGCAAUGGGCAGAAGUGCUGAUCGAAAAGCUUGCAUUACAUGAACUGAUUGAUCCUCGUAUUGGAGAAUCCUACGACACAUACGAACUGUACCAUAUGGCUAGGACAGCAUACUUGUGUGUUAGGAGGAGGCCGGAAAUGCGCCCAUCCAUGGGAGAGGUUGUGCGUCUUCUCGAAGGGGAGAAUGAACACGUCCGAGAUCUAGCACAGCAGUUCAUGCCUCAUUAUAGGCAGCAAUCUACAUAGCAUGGUGUUUGGUGUGCCGAAGGGUGAACUCUCUGUUUACUUAACAAUCAUAAACAGGAGCAUGAGUGCCCCUUUUUGGACUGUCGUCUUGUGGCAAGAUUCAAGCUUCUCAUUAGGCGGACCCACUGUGUUUACCCCUUGCCUCAAAAAGCGGGUUGAUCUGAUCAUCAAGCGGUCCAUGAGUGGACUAAAGAACCGAAUGGCUGAGAGAAAUUGACAAGACAGACCACAUUCGACAUGUGAUUGUUUCCCCACCAGAUGAGGGCCUGAUAUUCAACUCAGGGUGUAUGGAAGAAACGGGGUCCUGCCUGAGGGGCAGCUUGGAUCUCCCAUUUGCGUGCCAUGUCAGCAUGCUCGA